AUCUGUCGAUGAUCUCACUCCUCCUCCCAGAGAUCGUCGGCCCCAGAACGGCGGCGCUCCUCCUCCCAGCCAGCCGUUCACCUUUAGAGAAAGCCUGCCGCUCCUCCUCCCGCGGCAGGCUUUUUCG
rnacentral:sRNA from 1 species